GGGGGGUUAGCUCAGUUGGGAGAGCGUGGCGUUCGCAACGCCAAGGUCGCCGGUUCGAUCCCGGUACCCUCCA
rnacentral:tRNA from 1 species